AGCGAACGUUAGCGGCGGGCCUAACACAUGCAAGUCGAGCGAGAAAAGGGCUUCGGCCCUGAGUACAGCGGCGGACGGGUGAGUAAUACGUAGGUAACCUGCCCUUCAGUGGGGGACAACGGUCCGAAAGGACCGCUAAUACCGCAUCCGUUUCCCGGGUCUCCGGAUCCGGGAAGGAAAGCUGCCCGCAAGGGUGGCGCUGAAGGAGGGGCCUAUGUCGCAUCAGCUAGUUGGUGGGGUAAUGGCCUACCAAGGCGAAGACGCGUAGCUGGUCUGAGAGGAUGAUCAGCCACACUGGGACUGAGACACGGCCCAGACUCCUACGGGAGGCAGCAGUGGGGAAUAUUGGACAAUGGGGGCAACCCUGAUCCAGCCACGCCGCGUGAGUGAUGAAGGCCUUCGGUCGUAAAGCUCUGUGGGAGGGACGAACGUCCGGCAUGACCUGCCGGGUGACGGUACCUCCUUAGCAAGCACCGGCUAACUUCGUGCCAGCAGCCGCGGUAAUACGAAGGGUGACG
rnacentral:rRNA from 1 species